UACAGAGGUCUCAAGCGUUGUUCGGAUUCAUUGGGCGUAAAGGGUGCGUAGGCGGCGCGGUAAGUCGGGUGUGAAAUCUUGGAGCUUAACUCCGAAACUGCAUUCGAUACUGCCGUGCUUGAGGACUGGAGAGGAGACUGGAAUUUACGGUGUAGCGGUGAAAUGCGUAGAUAUCGUAAGGAAGACCAGUGGCGAAGGCGGCCAUCUGGACCAGCACUGACACUGAGGCACGAAAGCGUGGGGAGCAAACAGG
rnacentral:rRNA from 1 species